rnacentral:rRNA from 1 species
UGAGCAAUCUGCCCUUCUCAUCGGAAUAAGCGUUGGAAACCGCGUCUAAUGCCGAAUACGACCUCCUUUCGCAUGAUCGGAGGUGGAAAGCUCCGGCGGAGAAGGAUGAGCUCGCGGCCUA